AUUGAACGCUGGCGGCAGGCCUAACACAUGCAAGUCGAACGAGUGGCGGACGGGUGAGUAAUGUCUGGGAAAAUGCCUGAUGGAGGGGGAUAACUACUGGAAACGGUAGCUAAUACCGCAUACCAUUAGAGGUGCCCAUAUGGGAUUAGCUAGUUGGUGGGGUAACGGCUCACCAAGGCGACGAUCCGUAGCUGGUCUGAGAGGAUGACCAGCCACACUGGAACUGAGACACGGUCCAGACUCCUACGGGAGGCAGCAGUGGGGAAUAUUGCACAAUGGGGGCAAGCCUGAUACAGCCAUGCCGCGUGUAUGAAGAAGGCCUUCGGGUUGUAAAGUACUUUCAGCGGGGAGGCGUUACCCGCAGAAGAAGCACCGGCUAACUCCGUGCCAGCAGCCGCGGUAAUAC
rnacentral:rRNA from 1 species